rnacentral:rRNA from 1 species
UACGUAGGUGGCAAGCGUUGUCCGGAUUUAUUGGGCUUAAAGGGUGCGUAGGCGGCCCUGUAAGUCAGUGGUGAAAUACUCCGGCUUAACUGGAGGGGUGCCAUUGAUACUGCAGGGCUUGAGUGGAGUCGAAGUAGGCGGAAUUGACGGUGUAGCGGUGAAAUGCUUAGAUAUCGUCAAGAACACCGAUAGUGAAGACAGCUUACUAGGCUUCUACUGACGCUGAGGCACGAAAGUGUGGGGAUCAAACAGG